CUUGUACUCCCUCCGUUCCGAAUUACUCGUCGCAGAAAUGGAUGUAUCUAGAUGUAUUUUAGUUCUAGAUACAUCCAUUUCUGCGACGAGUAAUUUGGAACGGAGGGAGUACUUC
rnacentral:pre_miRNA from 1 species